rnacentral:lncRNA from 1 species
AAGGUAGUUAUCUUGAUAGAACCUACUAUUAGGAACAUUUUAGAAAGUUUCAAGAUAAUUGAUCAAAGUAUAAAUAAGAUUGGUUGAAGCCAUUUGGAACAUUUAAUUAAAUAUAGAUUAUGAUUCUUCUUUUUAGUAAAAUUUGGUCACUUUUUCUUGUUUGAUUUUGUUUGAUUUUAUUUAGUUUUGUUUUGCUCUUUUUUCUUUUAUUCACUUUUGUCUUUCAUAUUCAAUUCUAUUUAGUUACUUUUAAUUUUAUUCUAAUGUGCUUAGUCUUAUGUUGUGUCAAAAUCUUUAUUAUUAUAGACUUGAUAAGGUUUAGACCUUAAAAAAUCUAAUCUUGUUUCAUUGGUAUCAAAACAAG